rnacentral:tRNA from 1 species
UACCCUGUGGACGCGGUCCGGCAAGACUUUUAAUCCCUUGGUCGUGGGUUCGAAUCCCACCCGGCUCGCCA